GCUCGAAAGGUGGAAUGCAAGAAGGACUUAAAAUCCUUUGGCCAUUGCGGCUGUGCGGGUUCAAGUCCCGCUUCGAGUA
rnacentral:tRNA from 1 species